rnacentral:rRNA from 1 species
GCAGUCGAGGGGCAGCGGGGAGGUAGCAAUACCUUUGCCGGCGACCGGCGCACGGGUGAGUAACACGUAUGCAAUCCACCUGUAACAGGGGGAUAACCCGGAGAAAUCCGGACUAAUACCCCAUGAUAUGGGCUCUCCGCAUGGAGGGUCCAUUAAAGAGAGCAAUCUUGGUUACAGACGAGCAUGCGCUCCAUUAGCCGGUUGGCGGGGUAACGGCCCACCAAGGCGACGAUGGAUAGGGGUUCUGAGAGGAAGGUCCCCCACAUUGGAACUGAGACACGGUCCAAACUCCUACGGGAGGCAGCAGUGAGGAAUAUUGGUCAACGGUCGGCAGACUGAACCAGCCAAGUCGCGUGAGGGAAGACGGCCCUACGGGUUGUAAACCUCUUUUGUCGGAGAGUAAAGUGCGCUACGCGUAGCGCAUUGCAAGUAUCCGAAGAAAAAGCAUCGGCUAACUCCGUGCCAGCAGCCGCGGUAAUACGGAGGAUGCGAGCGUUAUCCGGAUUUAUUGGGUUUAAAGGGUGCG